CAAAGCUCACCCCAUUGGCCGCGAGGAUUUGAUCGCCCAUUUUGAUGCCAUGCUGCUCUGCAAGCCCUCCUGGAUCCAACCUGAACAGAAGAUGUAUAAAGAGACACACACACAGAAGUCACAAACAAGAGACAUAAAUUCCCAGUCCAAACUCUUUGCCUCCUCUGAUGUUGAAGCCCAGACAGUAGUCAUCUGAUGUGGUGAAGAGAUGCACGAUCCUGCGUAGAGCGCUGUCUGAACUGGCCUCUGAUGGCGUACGACCGUUUUCCUCCACCACCAUCCGCCGAUGAAUCAGGUCCACCCUACACAAACACACACAUGGAAGAGCACAGAUAUGCAUUCAUGACAACAAUCACAUACGCCACUUUCUUCUCCUCCACUGAACUCCUGCCUGUCAGUAUUGGUUAAUCAAAUAGCCAUAAAGGUCAGAGCAGUAAUCCAUCCACUGCUGCCACAUGAAACCAAGAUACAGUAUAUCCCAAAAGAAAGAUAACCAGUGUGGGCUACAGUCAAGUGACAAGAUUACACAAAGCAGGAGCCAUGCAAAGGUCAGUGGUGGUAGUGAUAAGAUUGUAGUCUUUACUUGACAUAAUAAUAUAUCCAGCUAACUGUAUUUAGUCAUACAUUCAGUCGGGGUUAGGUUAAGGUAAAGUUGUUAAAUUAACCGUAGCUGGUAAAUAUUUAAGUGUAGAUGUAGAAUGUGAUUUUGGUAGCUGUAUGUGAUCGGCCUCACCAUGUGGUCUUCUCCUUGGAGUAGCGGAUGCCGGGGAUCUUGCCCACCCGCCUCACCACCAUCCUCAGCCUGUUGUUGCCUGUCAGGACCUUCACAGCGCUGCUCAUGGUGAUGCUCUCCAGGCUGACCCCGUUCACCUCCACCAGCUUAUCGCCCACAGUCAGCCCAGCCUGCGCUGCAGACACAGGUGGAACUCGGCAUGAUAAACAAGAGCUAAAUGCCACGUAAACAGAGGACCACAUAGCUGUCGUCCUCCACCUUGCUGACAAAUAUGCCGAGCCCAUGUUCAGAGCCCCCGCGGACACUGAAGCCCAGACGCCCAUCUGGACUCUUAUCUACUGUCACCGUGUGAAUGUCUUCGCUGUCGUCCCCUCCUGCAAACACACAGAACACACUGACAUGUACUCGCCGUAAAUGUCUGCACAGUGUGACAGCCAACUAUCGACAGGGACUGUGACGAUAACAAGAAAAUACGGCUCGUAGAAGAACAGCGAGUCCUGCAACAGAUGGUGGGGCCCCACAGAGUUCUGAUCUCAUCAUCAUGGAGUCAGUCUGCUAUCACAUGAAGAGACAGGAGACGCUGAGACAGACUGUGGCAAGAUCUCCAUGAUACUGGGACAAACCUACCAGUUGGGUACCUAAAGGUGCUUGGGGCAAGAAUUAGUGUUGUUAUUAAGUAAGCACACAGAUUUUGGGCCAUAAGUUUACAUACAUAGGAAAAUGUAUAAUGUAUAUUUUUUUAUGCUUCAGAUACCCUAGAAGAUGCAUUUGAUGCUAUCUUUGGGGGCACUUGAAGGCCAUGGUGUAUCAGGUGAAGAUAUGAGACAUAAAUCAUCUCAAGGAACGUAUCACAAACACCAUAACAAGCAUAACUUCAACUGUGCUACCGCAAGUUCAUCAACAGUGGAAAAUACAUAUUAAUAUGUGUUUUUGAAACAAUGGUAAUCAUAUAGAGCACAUUACAUAAAUAAAAAUGGUUGUCCAACAUAAAAGGUUUAUUUUUCCUAUGUGUGGAAAGUUAUGGCCCACCCUGUAUAUUGAUUUCCUCUGAACUGAGCUAAACUUGGACUAAUGACUGAAUGACUGUCCUGACCCUGCGUCUGCUGCCGUGGCCACAGUAUAUGUUACCAUGGUAACAGAGGACCGUUAAGGCUCCGGAGCUCACCAUCAACAGGAGCAUUGAUGAGAAUGACCCUGCCCAU